CCUACGGGUGGCAGCAGUGGGGAAUAUUGGACAAUGGGGGGAACCCUGAUCCAGCCAUGCCGCGUGUGUGAAGAAGGCCCUCGGGUUGUAAAGCACUUUCAGUGAGGAAGAACGCCUGGUGGUUAAUACCCAUCAGGAAAGACAUCACUCACAGAAGAAGCACCGGCUAACUCCGUGCCAGCAGCCGCGGUAAUACGGAGGGUGCGAGCGUUAAUCGGAAUUACUGGGCGUAAAGCGCGCGUAGGUGGCUUGAUAAGCCGGUUGUGAAAGCCCCGGGCUCAACCUGGGAACGGCAUCCGGAACUGUCAAGCUAGAGUGCAGGAGAGGAAGGUAGAAUUCCCGGUGUAGCGGUGAAAUGCGUAGAGAUCUGGAGGAAUACCAGUGGCGAAGGCGGCCUUCUGGACUGACACUGACACUGAGGUGCGAAAGCGUGGGUAGCAAACAGGAUUAGAUACCCUAGUAGUC
rnacentral:rRNA from 1 species